rnacentral:tRNA from 1 species
ACCUGGGUGGCUCAGUCGGUUAAGCAUCUGACUUCGGCUCAGGUCAUGAUCUCACGGUUCGUGGGUUCAAGCCCCGCACCAGGCU